rnacentral:rRNA from 1 species
AUUGAACGCUGGCGGCAGGCCUAACACAUGCAAGUCGAACGGGCGGCGGACGGGCGAGUAAUGUAUGGGGACUGCCCGAUAGAGGGGGAUAACUACUGGAAACGGUGGCUAAUACCGCAUACUAUCGGAUGAGCCAGAUUGGAUUAGCUAGUAGGUGGGGUAAAGGCUCACCUAGGCGACGAUCCCUAGCUGGUCUGAGAGGAUGAUCAGCCACACUGGGACUGAGACACGGCCCAGACUCCUACGGAGGCAGCAGUGGGGAAUAUUGAACAAUGGGCGCAAGCCUGAUGCAGACAUGCCGCGUGAAUGAAGAAGGCCUUAGGGUUGUAAAGUACUUUCAGCGGGGAGGCGUUACCUGUAGAAGAAGCACCGGCUAACUCCGUGCCAGCAGCCGCGGUAAUUC